CCUGCUCGUGCAGCAACUGCUAUGAGAAGAUUGGAUCAUGGAUCAGUAUACCAUGGGGCUGUUGCGGUUCUUCAAAGUGUUGGUGCAUCAGCAGCACCAGUUUCUAAUCCUUGGGGAGUGUCAGGGAAUACCAAAGGAGGAGGAGCAGCUGCAGCUUUCAAGCCAGGGAAAAAGGCUGUGGUUCCAGAGCAUGGUUGGAGGGAAGAUUCAUGGGG
rnacentral:misc_RNA from 1 species